rnacentral:misc_RNA from 1 species
GAAAUGCGAUAAGUAAUGUGAAUUGCAGAAUUCAGUGAAUCAUCGAAUCUUUGAACGCAUCUUGCGCUCCUUGGUAUUCCGAGGAGCAUGCCUGUUUGAGUGUCAUUAAAUUCUCAACUCUCUUAUACUGUUUUGUAUAGGAGAGCUUGGAUGGUGGAGGUUUGCUGGCCACUCGUUUGAGGUCAGCUCCUCUGAAAUGCAUUAGCGGAACCGUUUGCGAUCUGCCACAAGUGUGAUAAAUUAUCUACACUAGCGAGGGGAUUGCUCUGUGUUGUUCGGCUUCCAAUUGUCUCUACUUUAUGAGACUACUACUUGAAUACUUGACCUCAAAUCAGGUAGGACUACCCGCUGAACUUAA